CCAGUACCUGAAGGUAACAUACAGGAAGGAUGGAGAGACAAUAUUUACAAGGCCCUGGUGUGACAGGAGGAGAAGAAUGGCUUCAAAAAGACAGAGUAGGCUUAAAUUGAUUAUUAGGAAGAAAUUCUUCUCUGUGAUGGUGGUGAGGACCUGGCAUGGGCUGCCCAGAGAAGCUGUGGCUGCCCCAUCCCUGCAAGUGUCCAAGGCCAUGUUGGAGGAGGCUUGGAGCAACCUGGGAUAGUGGAAGAUGUCCCUGCCCAUGGCAGGGGGCUGGAACUGGGUGAUUUUUAAGGUCCCUUCCAACCCAAACCAUUCUAUGCUUCCAUGAUUAUGACAUCUGGAGCUGAAUGUUUGGAAGUUAAACCAGCAGGAACCAGGAGAGCCUGAACACCAGUGCUCCACCAUGAACUAUGACUUGACCUCCCUCAGGCACAUGCAGGCGGGGAAAGCACUCUUUGAGCACUAAAGGAGUCAGUUUUAUCCAGAGAGAUUGUGGAGUCCCAUCCCUGGAAAUGUUCAAGGCCAGGUUGGACAGGGCUUGGAGCAACCUGGGAUAGUGGAAGGGGUCUCUCCCCAAAUCAUUCUGUGAUUCUAUGUUCCAAAAUACCUAUAAAUCCAUGAAAACUCACCAGGCUGCCCAUGGAAGUAGUGGAAUAACCAUUCCUGGAAUUGUUCAGAAAAACCACAUGUAUGCGGCAUUUUUUGAAUCUUUGCUCAUCAUACACAGACCACAGAAAGAAAAUUCCUGGAUCAUUAAAAAAAAUUAUUUUUGAAGGCUCAUAUAA